UUUUAAGAUCGGCUACUUAAGAGCCGAUUUUAAAAGCUACUUUUAACAUCGGCUCCUUAAGAGCCGAUUUUAAAA
rnacentral:miRNA from 1 species